rnacentral:rRNA from 1 species
AUUACUCCUACGGGAGGCAGCAGUAGGGAAUCUUCCACAAUGGACGAAAGUCUGAUGGAGCAACGCCGCGUGAGUGAAGAAGGUUUUCGGAUCGUAAAACUCUGUUGGUAGAGAAGAACGUUGGUGAGAGUGGAAAGCUCAUCAAGUGACGGUAACUACCCAGAAAGGGACGGCUAACUACGUGCCAGCAGCCGCGGUAAUA